rnacentral:rRNA from 1 species
CGGAACAACACAGGGAAACUUGUNNNAAUACCGGAUAAGCCCUUACGGGGAAAGAUUUAUCGCCGAAAGAUUGGCCCGCGUCUGAUUAGCUAGUUGGUGAGGUAACGGCUCACCAAGGCGACGAUCAGUAGCUGGUCUGAGAGGAUGAUCAGCCACAUUGGGACUGAGACACGGCCCAAACUCCUACGGGAGGCAGCAGUGGGGAAUAUUGGACAAUGGGCGCAAGCCUGAUCCAGCCAUGCCGCGUGAGUGAUGAAGGCCCUAGGGUUGUAAAGCUCUUUUGUGCGGGAAGAUAAUGACGGUACCGCAAGAAUAAGCCCCGGCUAACUUCGUGCCAGCAGCCGCGGUAAUACGAAGGGGGCUAGCGUUGCUCGGAAUCACUGGGCGUAAAGGGUCCGUAGGCGGUGCGGCAAGUCGGAAGUGAAAUCUCUGGGCUUAACCCAGAGGCUGCUCCCGAAACUGCCGUGCUAGAGGAUGAGAGAGGCGAGUGGAAUUGCGGGUGUAGCGGUGAAAUGCGUAGAUAUCUGCAGGAACACCCGUGGCGAAAGCGGCGCGCUGGACCACUACUGACGCUGAGGAACGAAAGCUAGGGGAGCAAACAGGAUUAGAUACCCUGGUAGUCCUAGCCCUAAACGAUCAGGACUUGGGGUGCCACCCGUUCGGGUGUCGUCCCGGAGCUAACGCGUUAAGUCCUGCACCUGGGG